rnacentral:rRNA from 1 species
CCUACGGGGGGCUGCAGUGGGGAAUAUUGGACAAUGGGGGCAACCCUGAUCCAGCCAUGCCGCGUGUGUGAAGAAGGCCCUCGGGUUGUAAAGCACUUUCAGUGAGGAAGAACGCCUGGUGGUUAAUACCCGUCAGGAAAGACAUCACUCACAGAAGAAGCACCGGCUAACUCCGUGCCAGCAGCCGCGGUAAUACGGAGGGUGCGAGCGUUAAUCGGAAUUACUGGGCGUAAAGCGCGCGUAGGUGGCUUGAUAAGCCGGUUGUGAAAGCCCCGGGCUCAACCUGGGAACGGCAUCCGGAACUGUCAAGCUAGAGUGCAGGAGAGGAAGGCAGAAUUCCCGGUGUAGCGGUGAAAUGCGUAGAGAUCGGGAGGAAUACCAGUGGCGAAGGCGGCCUUCUGGACUGACACUGACACUGAGGUGCGAAAGCGUGGGUAGCAAACAGGAUUAGAUACCCUAGUAGUC